GGUGUAGCUCAACUGACAGAGCACUUGCCUACCAUGCAUGAGGACCUGGGUUCCAUUCUCAGUACC
rnacentral:tRNA from 1 species